AACACUGUGGUAACAUCUUCAAGCAAACCAAGUGACGAUAGAACAGAAUGUUUUGCAACCCGGAU
rnacentral:sRNA from 1 species